GACGAACGCUGGCGGCGUGCUUAACACAUGCAAGUCGAACGAAGUGGCGAACGGGUGAGUAACGCGUAAUCAACCUGCCCUUCAGAGGGGGACAACAGUUGGAAACGACUGCUAAUACCGCAUACUGAAGGAGGGGAGUGCGUCUGAUUCGCUCGUUGGAGGGGUAACGGCCCACCAAGGCGAUGAUCAGUAGCCGGGCUGGGAGGAUUAACGGCCAAAUUGGGACCUGGACACCGCCCAGACGCCUACGGGAGGCAGCCGUGGGGAAUCUUCCGCAAUGGACGAAAGUCUGACGGAGCAACGCCGCGUGAGUGAUGACGGCCUUCGGGUUGUAAAGCUCUGUUAAUCGGGACGCGGUACCGGAAUAGAAAGCCACGGCUAACUACGUGCCAGCAGCCGCGGUAAUUC
rnacentral:rRNA from 1 species